GGACGGAGAAAAUUUACCAUAUGUGGGUACUGGUUACGGCGGGCUGGUACUCCAGCCGAAAUGGAUGGUGGUGGAUACUGAAAUAAAGCAUUUUUCAUGUAAUAUCAUCAUCCAUUUACCAAAGAAAUAUAGGGUGACUGGUAAUUAGUGAACGAUAUUUAAACACGUGAUUGUACUCAUGAUUACAAACAACUUUCCCAAAGAAACUUUUUUUGUAUACUCAUUA